ACUGUGGGAGAAAUCUUUCUAACACACAGGAGGAAAGGAGGAAAGAAACCAGCCUCUCAAAGCUGUGGGCUGUGGCAGGACCGUGAUGGUUAUCUUCCUGGGCGAUCAUCAACAUCCCCUAAAGGUGGAAUGACUGGCUCAGCUGAAUGGGCCAGGGAACAUGAAUCUGAAAUCAAAACGCUGGUUGAAGGGCACAGUCUAUGAGGAGAGGCAGCGGAUGUAUGUGGACAAUCACAUGUGCCGGGGUGUAAGUUUGGUUCAUUUGGAAGUGAGAGCAGCUGAAUCUCCUUGUUGCUCAGUGAUCAACACAUCUUCUGGGAAAACCAUCCCGUUUCAGACAACUUCCAGCCUGAGGACUCGGCAGGACUCUCUCCCUCUCACAUAAUUUCACUUCCUUAGCGUGUCACUGGACGAGCAGCGUCAGCCUCCUGUGGAGCUCAUUAGAAAUGCGGGCUCUCAGGCUCCAUUGCAGACCUGUGGCAUCAGAAUCUGCUUUUUAGUAGGAUUCCAAGUUCUAGGUUAGUCAAGCCCUGGUUUUCCUGUUUGAAGCCUCAGCAGGAAUUCUGCUUCUUUUCUUCUGUCCUUUGGCUGAUCUUUUUGGCUGAUUGACAGCAACUCUGCCACAGGCACAGUCUGACGCAGGCCUGGUUAGCAGAGGUCUCCCUGAGAGGGAUCUCAUUGUUGUGAUCUACAGGAGCCAGGAAGAGGAACCAGCCCUCGGAGGGAGCUGGUCAGCUGGGGCCGUGACAACAGGCUGCACUCAAAGGAACAGGUCCCCUUCAGCUCCAAAAGAUUGGCGUCAUCUGAGAAUGUGGACCCAGCGUGGGCAGAUUUUUCUAGUGUCUAGAAGUGACUGUGCAAACCCAAAACAAAACUAAAAAGACAUAUUUGUGGGCCACCAAGAACCUCUGGUAUGAAGUAAAUUAUACAGGCAUUGGACAGUAACAACCCAUCCAAGGGAGCUGUGGGCGGAGGUGUGGCAUCUGCUCAUUCCUGUCGUAGGGAGGUGAGCUCUACCACGGGGCAGUGGAGUGAACAAUGCCCGGAGAUUAUCCAAAACCCUUUGCUUUAAUUUUCCGCUUACCCAACAGACUUCUAAUUCAGGUUUACAACAAAGUUUAAAACCAGCAAGGGGGGGAUCUGGAUAAGGCACUAUACCUAUUUCGGUCCCCAGAAAGGGCUAUUCCUGCAUAUCAAUAAAUCAGCAUUCUGAUUUCCUACUGACCUCUUUGCUGAGUUUGUCUGCCUUGUAGAGCUUUGGGCAGCUCUGGGUAAGCUAACGAAAUAAAAUUCUGGUGCUGAAAAGCUGUUUGUGACCCUGAUCAACAGUGACCUAGGUUUGGUCACUGCUCCCUCUCCAGACACCAACCAGUGGGCCAUCUCUCUGUGAAUGUGGCAGGCACCAUUUUGCUGGGGAAGGAGGUUAAAUCUUUAGCCUUGUCAUUGACUCAGCUUUGUAAUUCAAGACUCUUUUCUCUCAUCCUUUGAUUUUCAGCCCCCAGACUUUUCUCUCCAUGUCCUUGCCCCCCGGCACUUCCAAUUGUCUAGCACCUAAGUGUAUUUGGGCAUUCCCUGUCUUCCCAAAUUAUCUUUACUCUUCUUCCUUACUUCUUCAUCCUUCUCUUGUUUUAUUCCUUUCAUUACUUUU
ensembl:lncRNA